rnacentral:lncRNA from 1 species
UUAUAAUAGUAUUUAAUUGUUGGCUAUAUUGUUUAAUACCUUGAACUUAAAGUAUUAUAUGUUCUUGUAUAUUCGAACUUCAUCAAAACACAUUAAACUCAACACAUAAAGGGGCCAAGGCAUGUUACAGAAAUACAAUAAAACCGUACACGUUGGAAACAUUUAUUUGAUUGUUUAUGUUAAUAGCAGUCCCAAAAAGUACAAG